rnacentral:lncRNA from 1 species
UGGCAUUCAGGCCGUGUCAAUCGCCGAACGGUUGCUAAGUUCCUCUCAGCCAAGUGUGUGUUUGCCACGGUCAAGCCUCACACCGUGGCAUGAAUAUCGUGUCAUUGGCCGAGGGUGCACAAAAGUUGCCACGGCCAAGUGUGGACCGUGGCAUUGAAAUCGCGGCAUGUUUAACUUAGUCAUCCUGGACUGUCUGGACCAUCUCGCAUUCCGGAGAGUGUAACUUCCUGGAGACCUGUCCGAAUUGAGUAAUUCCGGUUGCAGAAGACAGAGGACUCAUUUCUCUCCAACUUUGAUGAAGGAAGUUUCAGUGCUUGGGAAGUGUAAGGUUUCC